rnacentral:rRNA from 1 species
AAAUUGAAGAGUUUGAUCAUGGCUCAGAUUGAACGCUGGCGGCAGGCCUAACACAUGCAAGUCGAACGGUAACAGGAAACAGCUUGCUGUUUCGCUGACGAGUGGCGGACGGGUGAGUAAUGUCUGGGAAACUGCCUGAUGGAGGGGGAUAACUACUGGAAACGGUAGCUAAUACCGCAUAAUGUCGCAAGACUAAAGAGGGGGACCUUCGGGCCUCUUGCCAUCGGAUGUGCCCAGAUGGGAUUAGCUAGUAGGUGGGGUAACGGCUCACCUAGGCGACGAUCCCUAGCUGGUCUGAGAGGAUGACCAGCCACACUGGAACUGAGACACGGUCCAGACUCCUACGGGAGGCAGCAGUGGGGAAUAUUGCACAAUGGGCGCAAGCCUGAUGCAGCCAUGCCGCGUGUAUGAAGAAGGCCUUCGGGUUGUAAAGUACUUUCAGCGGGGAGGAAGGGAGUAAAGUUAA